AAUUAUUUUAGAAAAUUGGAAUCAAUGUUAAAUCCAAGUGAAAUUAAAUCAAACCAGAAUUGAAGUAAGCAGCUAACGGAGAAAGAGGAGCGGAACGCAGACUCACUUCUCACCAUUCUCACUAGCUCUUAGGUUAUUUCUGAGGAGGAAAUUGUCUAAUAUGUGGUGGAUGGCAAUUGUUCUAUUAGCUUUUGGAGCAACUACAAGCCAGGAAUUAGAAGGGGACUAUCUGUCCAAUUGUUGAAACUAGCAUUUUCCUGUCCAUGUGCUUUUGUUUCAAUUCUUGGUGUCCAAUUGUUGAAACUAGCAUUUUCCUGGUUA